UGUUGCAGUUAAAAAGCUCGUAGUUGAACCUUGGGCCUGGCUGGCCGGUCCGCCUCACCGCGUGUACUGGUCCGGCCGGGCCUUUCCUUCUGGGGAACCUCAUGCCCUUCACUGGGCGUGUUGGGGAACCAGGACUUUUACUUUGAAAAAAUUAGAGUGUUCAAAGCAGGCCUUUGCUCGAAUACAUUAGCAUGGAAUAAUAGAAUAGGACGUGUGGUUCUAUUUUGUUGGUUUCUAGGACCGCCGUAAUGAUUAAUAGGGAUAGUCGGGGGCAUCAGUAUUCAAUCGUCAGAGGUGAAAUUCUUGGAUUGAUUGAAGACUAACUACUGCGAAAGCAUUUGCCAAGGAUGUUUUCAUUAAUCAGUGAACGAAAGUUAGGGGAUCGAAGACGAUCAGAUACCGUCGUAGUCUUAACCAUAAACUAUGCCGACUAGGGAUCGGACGGUGUUAGUAUUUUGACCCGUUCGGCACCUUACGAGAAAUCAAAGUUUUUGGGUUCUGGGGGGAGUAUGGUCGCAAGGCUG
rnacentral:rRNA from 15 species